rnacentral:rRNA from 1 species
AGUGAACGCUGGCGGUAGGCCUAACACAUGCAGGUCGAACGGCAGCACAGUAAGAGCUUGCUCUUACGGGUGGCGAGUGGCGGACGGGUGAGGAAUACAUCGGAAUCUACUUUUUCGUGGGGGAUAACGUAGGGGAACUUACGCUAAUACCGCAUACGACCUACGGGUGAAAGCAGGGGAUCUUCGGACCUUGCGCGAUUGAAUGAGCCGAUGUCGGUUUAGCUAGUUGGCGGGGUAAAGGCCCACCAAGGCGACGAUCCGUAGCUGGUCUGAGAGGAUGAGCAGCCACACUGGAACUGAGGCACGGUCCAGACUCCUACGGGAGGCACAAGGGGGGAAUAUUGGACAAUGGGCGCAAGCCUGAUCCAGCCAUACCGCGUGGGUGAAGAAGGCCUUCGGGUUGUAAAGCCCUUUUGUUGGGAAAGAAAAGCAGCAGGUUAAUACCCCGCUGUUCUGACGGUACCCAAAGAAUAAGCACCGGCUAACUUCGUG